rnacentral:rRNA from 1 species
UGUGAACUCGAAGAGUAGGGCGGGACACGUGGUAUCCUGUCUGAAUAUGGGGGGACCAUCCUCCAAGGCUAAAUACUCCUGACUGACCGAUAGUGAACCAGUACCGUGAGGGAAAGGCGAAAAGAACCCCGGCGAGGGGAGUGAAAAAGAACCUGAAACCGUGUACGUACAAGCAGUGGGAGCACCUUCGUGGUGUGACUGCGUACCUUUUGUAUAAUGGGUCAGCGACUUAUAUUCUGUAGCAAGGUUAACCGUAUAGGGGAGCCGAAGGGAAACCGAGUCUUAACUGGGCGUUAAGUUGCAGGGUAUAGACCCGAAACCCGGUGAUCUAGCCAUGGGCAGGUUGAAGGUUGGGUAACACUAACUGGAGGACCGAACCGACUAAUGUUGAAAAAUUAGCGGAUGACUUGUGGCUGGGGGUGAAAGGCCAAUCAAACCGGGAGAUAGCUGGUUCUCCCCGAAAGCUAUUUAGGUAGCGCCUCGUGAACUCAUCUUCGGGGGUAGAGCACUGUUUCGGCUAGGGGGCCAUCCCGGCUUACCAACCCGAUGCAAACUACGAAUACCGAAGAAUGUUAUCACGGGAGACACACGGCGGGUGCUAACGUCCGUCGUGAAGAGGGAAACAACCCAGACCGCCAGCUAAGGUCCCAAAGUCAUGGUUAAGUGGGAAACGAUGUGGGAAGGCACAGACAGCCAGGAUGUUGGCUUAGAAGCAGCCAUCAUUUAAAGAAAGCGUAAUAGCUCACUGGUCGAGUCGGCCUGCGCGGAAGAUGUAACGGGGCUAAACCAUGCACCGAAGCUGCGGCAGCGACACUAUGUGUUGUUGGGUAGGGGAGCGUUCUGUAAGCCGUUGAAGGUGUGCUGUGAGGCAUGCUGGAGGUAUCAGAAGUGCGAAUGCUGACAUAAGUAACGAUAAAGCGGGUGAAAAGCCCGCUCGCCGGAAGACCAAGGGUUCCUGUCCAACGUUAAUCGGGGCAGGGUGAGUCGACCCCUAAGGCGAGGCCGAAAGGCGUAGUCGAUGGGAAACAGGUUAAUAUUCCUGUACUUGGUGUUACUGCGAAGGGGGGACGGAGAAGGCUAUGUUAGCCGGGCGACGGUUGUCCCGGUUUAAGCAUGUAGGCGGAGGUUCCAGGUAAAUCCGGUACCUUAUUAACGCUGAGGUGUGAUGACGAGGCACUACGGUGCUGAAGUAACAAAUGCCCUGCUUCCAGGAAAAGCCUCUAAGCAUCAGGUAACAUCAAAUCGUACCCCAAACCGACACAGGUGGUCAGGUAGAGAAUACCAAGGCGCUUGAGAGAACUCGGGUGAAGGAACUAGGCAAAAUGGUGCCGUAACUUCGGGAGAAGGCACGCUGAUAUGUAGGUGAAGCCCCUGCGGGUGGAGCUGAAAUCAGUCGAAGAUACCAGCUGGCUGCAACUGUUUAUUAAAAACACAGCACUGUGCAAACACGAAAGUGGACGUAUACGGUGUGACGCCUGCCCGGUGCCGGAAGGUUAAUUGAUGGGGUUAGCGGCAACGCGAAGCUCUUGAUCGAAGCCCCGGUAAACGGCGGCCGUAACUAUAACGGUCCUAAGGUAGCGAAAUUCCUUGUCGGGUAAGUUCCGACCUGCACGAAUGGCGUAAUGAUGGCCAGGCUGUCUCCACCCGAGACUCAGUGAAAUUGAACUCGCUGUGAAGAUGCAGUGUACCCGCGGCAAGACGGAAAGACCCCGUGAACCUUUACUAUAGCUUGACACUGAACACUGGUCCUUGAUGUGUAGGAUAGGUGGGAGGCUUUGAAGCGUGGACGCCAGUCUGCGUGGAGCCGUCCUUGAAAUACCACCCUUUAAUGGCUGGUGUUCUAACGUAGACCCGUAAUCCGGGUUGCGGACAGUGUCUGGUGGGUAGUUUGACUGGGGCGGUCUCCUCCCAAAGAGUAACGGAGGAGCACGAAGGUUAGCUAAUCCUGGUCGGACAUCAGGAGGUUAGUGCAAUGGCAUAAGCUAGCUUGACUGCGAGAGUGACGGCUCGAGCAGGUGCGAAAGCAGGUCAUAGUGAUCCGGUGGUUCUGAAUGGAAGGGCCAUCGCUCAACGGAUAAAAGGUACUCCGGGGAUAACAGGCUGAUACCGCCCAAGAGUUCAUAUCGACGGCGGUGUUUGGCACCUCGAUGUCGGCUCAUCACAUCCUGGGGCUGAAGUAGGUCCCAAGGGUAUGGCUGUUCGCCAUUUAAAGUGGUACGCGAGCUGGGUUUAGAACGUCGUGAGACAGUUCGGUCCCUAUCUGCCGUGGGCGCUGGAGAAUUGAGGGGGGCUGCUCCUAGUACGAGAGGACCGGAGUGGACGCAUCACUGGUGUUCGGGUUGUCAUGCCAAUGGCACUGCCCGGUAGCUAAAUGCGGAAAAGAUAAGUGCUGAAAGCAUCUAAGCACGAAACUUGCCCCGAGAUGAGUUCUCCCUGAGACUUUAAGUCUCCUGAAGGAACGUUGAAGACGACGACGUUGAUAGGUCGGGUGUGUAAGCGCAGCGAUGCGUUGAGCUAACCGAUACUAAUGAACCGUGAGGCUUAACCUU